ACAUCCAGGCUCCAUCUAUAGCAUUUGCCAAUAACUUCUGGCCUUAUUGUGCCCUCUGCUGUUUGCAAUUUAAACUUUCUUUGUUAAUGUUUCCACAGCAGUCAUGAACUGGCAUUUCUUAGCAACUGGAUUUUGAAAAGGCAAAACUGAUUAGUACAAAUAUCAUUUUUGAUUACAGAUUGAAGAGAAUACAUAUGGAAGAUUCAUGUAGUAUGACAAAAUGUAAUCCAAAAUCUGUUUUGAAAGCAUUUAAGGCUAUUGCUGGAGUUAUUGAAGGAGGGAAUUAUAGCAUCUGACAGACCAAAUGCAGAUAUACAGAUAUUCCUGUCUGGACAUGAUUCAGGAUUCCAAGUAAACUGAACAAAAAUGGCCUGAGGGUGUGGUUUCAGACAUAGAGGCACAGAGGGUUUGGAUGGGAAUAGCCCAAAGUCGGUGAGGACACGUUCAAUCUGCACACUGUUGGAAUUGGAGGCCGUGGAGAAGCAGAUCCGCAAUCUACUGGAGAAGCAGGCCCAGCUGCGAGAGCAGAGAACAUCACUUGAGACAUCCUGCGCUGAUGCAAGAUGUGAAUACUCC
rnacentral:lncRNA from 1 species